GACGAACGCUGGCGGCGUGCUUAACACAUGCAAGUCGAACGGAAAGGCCCUGCUUGCCGGGUACUCGAGUGGCGAACGGGUGAGUAACACGUGGGUGAUCUGCCCUGCACGUCGGGAUAAGCCUGGGAAACUGGGUCUAAUACCGGAUAGGAGCCAUUUUUAGUGUGAUGGGUGGAAAGUUUUUUCGGUGUAGGAUGAGCUCGCGGCCUAUCAGCUUGUUGGUGGGGUAAUGGCCUACCAAGGCGGCGACGGGUAGCCGGCCUGAGAGGGUGGACGGCCACAUUGGGACUGAGAUACGGCCCAGACUCCUACGGGAGGCAGCAGUGGGGAAUAUUGCACAAUGGGCGCAAGCCUGAUGCAGCGACGCCGCGUGGGGGAUGACGGCCUUCGGGUUGUAAACUCCUUUCGCUAGGGACGAAGCUUUUUGUGACGGUACCUAGAUAAGAAGCACCGGCUAACUACGUG
rnacentral:rRNA from 1 species